GAUGAACGCUAGCUACAGGCUUAACACAUGCAAGUCGAGGGGCAGCACUAGGUAGCAAUACUGAGGUGGCGACCGGCGCACGGGUGCGUAACGCGUAUCCAACCUUCCCGUUACUCAGGGAUAGCCUUCCGAAAGGGAGAUUAAUACCUGAUGGUGUUCAAAUUCCGCAUGUUAUUUGAACUAAAGAUUUAUCGGUAACGGAUGGGGAUGCGUGACAUUAGGUAGAUGGCGGGGUAACGGCCCACCAUGCCUACGAUGUCUAGGGGUUCUGAGAGGAAGGUCCCCCACACUGGAACUGAGACACGGUCCAGACUCCUACGGGAGGCAGCAGUGAGGAAUAUUGGUCAAUGGUCGGAAGACUGAACCAGCCAAGUAGCGUGAAGGAUGAAGGUUCUAUGGAUUGUAAACUUCUUUUAUACGGGAAUAAAACCACCUACGUGUAGGUGCUUGUAUGUACCGUGUGAAUAAGCAUCGGCUAACUCCGUG
rnacentral:rRNA from 1 species